AUUGUUUCCUGGGCUGCAUAAGCAAUGCCAUUGUUUAAAGACUUUGCAUAUUGGCCAUAACUCUUUAAGUUUUGAACUUUAGUAAGUUUUACUAUUCAAGGGGUGUUACAAAGACUGUAAGUUUAUCUUUUUAUGUAACAUAUGGGACAGGAGGUUAAACAAGAAAGGCUAGAAGAUGAUAAGGUGGAGAUGGCUGAAGAAAUUUAACAGGAGACACAAAAGCUCUCACAUCUGUCAGAGGAGCAGUUAGCUGACCAAACAUCAAUUACUUCUUGAAAUGAGAGAGAAAUAACUGAAGGAUUGGAACCAGAAGGUAGAAUUCAUCUUUAUGAAUAAGUAACUGUAUUUUGUUAAUAAAUCUAUGUCUCUUUCCAUUUUCUUAGGCAUUUCUUACUAGCAGUGGGAGCUGCCUCGUUAUGGGAAGCUCCAUGACAGAAAUUAUAUUCUGGUGUACUUUAUAGCUGAAGCUGGGUAGUGGAUAUGGUGGUGUUAUUUUCUUCCCAAAUGGAAACUGUAUCAUAAUUGAAUGCAAAAAUCUGGUAUCUGACCUAGAUUCAUAAAAUAUUAAGGGAAACCUGGCUUCUAUUUUAAAUGUCUUUAUAUUCUCCCUUAGAACUAGGCUGUUCUAAAGACCAUUUUAAUGAUUAUGCUCCUUUUGUCUGCAGAUAACAGCCAAUGCUGCUAUUGGAAAUCCUUUCAGACAGAGAGAGGGGUAGUAUGUCUUAUCAUAUUGGUGACUUAAACUUGUUAGAGGCAGAUUUAUUUAAAGAUUAUAAAAGGCAGGUCAUCCUGUUCCACCUCUGAGCUUAAACUGUUUAUCAUUGAAAUAGACCAAGUCCACAAUACCAAGUUUACAAUAAAAGCACAAACAGAAUGCUAAAAUUUCAUGUUCAUUUGUUUGCAGCUUCUGUGUAAGACUACAUUAGAAAAAUUGGAAAAAAUAUGAUGUUGAAUCCCUGUUGUGUUUAUAAGUAAUUUGCUUCAGAGGAGAAAAACCCAAAAUGCUCUGAAAUAAUCCACCUGCAUGCAGAACUAUUUUUUUCUUUUAAAAAAGGAUAAAUUACUCUUUAUGUGUGCAUGGUGUUAAACAUAGUCAGAGGAAAUCCACAAAUUCAGGCCAUAGUUGUGUAUAAAGCUAACAGUUGUUCAUACCUCAGUCUAUCACAGGACUUCUAUCAUUCCAGUCCUCAACUUUCAUCUGGGAAGCACUGCUUUUUUAUUUUUACAAACCAGAAAAAAAAUACACCUAAAUACAGUUUAGAUGACUAUAAAGGUCAUUGAUUUGCAGGGUUAAUCUUCUGCAAGGAAGAGAAGAUUUGCCUGGCAGUUAUUCUUCAUUUGUUAGUAAAGCACCUAUAUUGCUCUCAGGCUCCUCAGCAAAACUCAGAUGGACUGCAGCAAAGGGGUUUAACCACAUUGAUUCUUCCAAUGUUUUUCACAUCAAGGUGAUAGUCCUCUUGAAGCAAUAAAAUCUGACAGAAAUGACUAUAUUAUUUCAAGUCCAUUAUCCAGUAAUAUUAAACAGCUGAGUCAGAAUGUAUAUGGCAAUUAUUUGGCCAGACUAAAAAUAUUUUAAACCUAAUGCUGUAUAAGAGUAGCUUUGCUGUAUCUGACAUCAGUUUCCUGUAAAGUUAUAUAUGUACAGUAUCAAAUCACUUCAGUGUACUUCUUUUUCUAUUAUUAUUUGUGGGCAAGUGCACUAAUCAUGUUCUCUUGAUUUAUGCUUAAAACCAGCAAUUAAUUACCACAAAGACAUAUAUAAAAAAUAAGACCACAUUAAUACAAAUUUGGAAAAUUUUCUUGGAACAGUAUUUCAGUAGAAUAGUUCUGAAAAAAAAAUCAUCAUAUUUUCUAAUCUAAAUUUGACUGAACAAUGUUAAAAAAUAUAAAGCUAGUAAAUGAAAUUGAUGACAGUGCUUCUAACAGUUAAUACUUCUCUGAUCUGUCUCAGCCUUCUUUUAAAGGACCAGGGCUAUACUGUUAUAUCCUAUCAGACUUCAUGGUUUGUUAUGUUCUGCAGUGUGAUAUCCUAGAGGUAGCUUGAUUUUUUUAAAAUGCUCUUUUCAAGGCUGUGAAACAUCCUACAAAGCAACAAGAAGCAAUUCUUUGUAUGAGAAAUGUAGCUGUUCUUUGUUAAAGCUGUAGAAGAGGUUUUGAAAUGCUAUCACUCAUGUAUUCUUCAGAAAAAUGCAGAGAGUACUUUUGAAGAUGGAAUUGCAUUGUUUAUAUGUAUAAUUUUAGAAACAAUUGACACCUGUAAUUUUGAGAACUGAAAUUAGUGCUACUCAUCUUUAUUAAAUCCAAAUAUAAUACACUUGUUCUAUAAUUUUCUGGUCAUGUAUUUUAUCACAGUCAUUUAAGAGCUCUUUUGUGAGAACUUUGUGUAGAUUUAUUUCAGGUUCAUCAAUUUCUACCUUUCCCCAUUGAUCUGUUCUUGUGGUAACAAAAAUGCAUGUUCAUGAAGGGUAGAUGAAACAAUAAAACCUCUGAACUAUUAAGACAACAAGUAUAUUUGAUACAGAUUGGAUUUUUAGAAUAUGCAUUGGUUUAUAUGAAUUCUUGGGUUAAUUAUGGAAUACAGCAUAUCAAAAUUGUUACUGAAUUUGUAUUUUUUUAAGAUUAAAAAUCUCUGCCUUUUAUCUUUUGAGAUAAAUAUCCUGCUGGUAAUCAAACAGUGUAAAUAAAACUUGUGAUUUUUGGAGAUUGUUAUGCUAAUUAUCCCCUAGAUCUGAGUUGUAUGCCAAACUGUUUAAGCCAUUUAAGAUCACACUGAGGUUUUUCUGCAUGUUGCAAAUUAGACAGUUCAUGGUUAUUUCUUAGAUAUGUUGAUCACAAAGGGUAUCUAACAGAUUUUCCACUACUUAACUGUACCACUUGCUUCUUUCUCUUUUCUUCUUGUCUAUGAUGUAUGAUUAAUCAUAGAUUACUUCAUUUUGUUUCAUUUCAUUUACAACAUUUAUGAGCUUCACUUUGUCUGUAUGAAAUGCUUGUCCCCUUCUUUCCUUUCCAAAGUGGCAUAAUUAGUGUUAGCAUCUUUUUUAACAGGCUACAUAAAGUUUAGUGGCUGGAUUAAAUCAAGUCAUUAACAUAAUGUGCUAUACAAUUUGCCCCUAUCUCUUUUCGUUUCCAGUACAUCAAAGUGCCACAGAGUGCCAGUGUAAUUGGGCCUUGCUAGCUUGUCAGGUUCAGUCAGGCUGAUGGCUGCUGCUUUUACUAAAAAGCUUCCAGGCAUGAUAAUUAAUAGAGAAAAGAAGUCUGAGAAAUGUAAAAGUUUGGACAGUUCUCUAUGAAUAUUUCAUACAUUUGAAUAAUCAGAAGUUAACAUUAUCAAUUUGAUGUAUAAUACAUUGAUUAAAAGCCUUGUUUCAGAUCCUCAAAAUAGACAUCAAAACUGGGAAUUUGCAUUUUCUUUGUCUUUAUAUUAAAAAAAAAAAUUAAAAAAAUCUUUUCUCUUCCAUCCCCUCCUCCUUUACACUCCCACAUCUACACCAAAUCCUUACAGGAAAUUAUAUAGCAUUCAGUUUUCACAAUAAGAUUUACUGCUGUCAACUUCCAAGUUGCCUUAAAAUGUGCCAUGAGGCAAUUACUGGCAAACCCAAUUUGUUUGGGAGUGGUUCUGGUUUUUCUCUCUUUUUUUCUUGCAGAUGCCACAAGUGCAUUCUCUUGCUCUAACAGCAGUUUACUGAUAGCAGCCGUUAUCUGUACCUGUAAAUUAAGAUAUCAAGUUGUAACCAAUUUUGACAUGGAAAUCUUUCUUAAACAGCAAAAAAGCCAUACCAAGUGCUCAUGGUUCUCCUGGUGAAGGGCACAAGCUUGUGCUAAGGAAGUUGAAAAAUCUGGAUUAAAAUUAGAUCACUUGGUUUUACAAAGUCAUGAAUUACAUCAGAUGAAAGAAUACAGCAGCUGAGUAUGGAAUGCAGAUGAAACAAUUUCCCUGCAGAGGACAAUCCACUGUCAAUUCCAAAGCCAGCAGGUGCUCAGAGGAGUGACUGUAACCAUAGAACUGUGCUCAGUGAUACCCCAGAAGAUGAGCAGAACUUGAACGUGAAGAUACUGAUUAUGCUGAAUCUGUUUGAAAAAUAUAUUCCAGAAGCAAAGAAAUACCAUUGAACAAGCCAUUGGUGUAUAAACAGUACUGUCCUCUGAAGUCUGCUCUGAAGUUGACAGUUCAUUGAGUGAUUUGUUCAAGAAUAUACAAAAUGCUUUGGAUCUCUCAGAGUAGCAUCCAAUCUGUCCUAUAAUAGGUCUUUCAACAGGUUUUUGAUUCACAAGAUGACAGUGCAGUAAUUGGAAAGCUCAAAGGAGCCCUGGAAGCCCUCCAUGCCUGCCCUCAGCCGAGAGGGGAAUGCAGAGAUGACUACGAGGCAUGAAAGGAAGCUUGCCUGCACAAGAGCCCUCUCCCAGUGUAAAUACAUGCUUGAUAGUGCAUCAAAGAUGAGAUCUUUGUAAUUCCUACAGUAUAUUUAAUGUAUAAUUUAUAUGAAAAGGACGCUUGAUUUGUAGUUGUAAAGUUUUGUAUACUUUUCAGUCUGUUUGUUUUUAUAUUUCCCCCCUAAGGCUAAGAAUAUCUCCACAAUGGACAACGCCUUGUAAAUAAUUAAUACCUACAUGAUUGAACGACGUGCUUUAUUUGCAUUUUUAAGAUUUUUUUCCUACAUAAAACAGUAAUAAAAAUGCAAGUCAAAAUUUUAAUUUUUAAUAAAAAAACCAUAAGCCUUAGAAAACUGAUUAAAAAUACUUUUAUGUUAUCCCUAAUCACCCCGUUAAAUGGAAUGCCUGUGAUUAGCCUCAUUAAGAAUUUUAUACUGUGAAGAUUUUAUUAAAAGCAAUAUAUGAAAAUUACUUGGAUUAAUGUGUUAAUCUGCCUCUUUAAAAUGCUAAUAUCCAUUUUAUGCACAUUAAAUCUCAGUAUGUGUUUUCUUUGAUGCAUGCAGUUCCUAUCAAUUAAAUAUAAAAAAUUAGGCUAGUUGCAGGACUUAUUAAAUUACUGCACCCUUUUUUAAAAUAACUUUUACCCUUCUACUAACAUUAUAAUCAGCUGUUUAUGGUUACCAUAAUUUGAAGUAGGGGGAGGGCAGGCACAAUCAUUUUCUGUACAGGAGAUGAUUUACUUGCAGCCAACAUCUGUCAAAGCACAAAAAGAAGCCAUAGACUAUCAGAUUUUGCUUCACCUACUUUGGGCUUUAGGGAUGGGCAACUGUUUUCAUUUGGGUUUUGUCACUUUUAGAACUUACAUCAAACAUAUACAAUAAAUUGUUGUAUCUGAAUAACUACUGUCUAGUGUGGAAAGUUAAUUUUACAGCUUUUAACCAAUCUCAGUGAAGGGUUUAAUUGAUAUUUUUAAUGGAGCUGUGAAUCAAUGCUGCAAAAGGAUUGUCUCUUGAGAACGAGGAUAUAAUACAUUUCAUUUUUUAAUUUACUUUUUUAUUUGUCAUUUUCUUCAAAGGAUUUUAUAGACUGGAUUUCCACUGUUUGCAAACAGGCUAUGUUUCUUCAUAAGCAUAUGUAAAGUAUUCAGAGAGAUAAGUAAUUUAUUAAAAUCUACCUAAUUUGCCGUGAUAUAUUAAAUCUCUGCUUCAGUGAUCACAGACCAUUUCAUUUAGAGAAUUAGGCAUUCCCUCUUUGUGUGAUUAAAGCUCUGGAAAAUGAGUUCUUUGCUCCUAUUUGUGAACAUUCAAAGCCUGCUAAUGGCAAGAAGAUGGAAUAGAUUAUGAGACAAUUCAUUACAGUUCAACAGAAAAAAACCCCAGCUAUAAUGCAGAAAUGCAAGUAUGAAUAUCUGCAUAUAGUUUGAACCAUCUGUGCUCUAAUGCCUUCAGUAAUGGCUCUUCGU